GUGGCGGUGGGAUCCCGCGGCCGUGUUUUCCUGGUGGCCCGGCCAUGCCUGAGGUUUCUCCCUCAGCCGCCCCUCUGCGGGCUCCCAGGUGCCCUUGCCCUCGCGGUCCCCGGCCCUUGCCUGUCUGCGCCCCCUUCCCCGCCCGCCGCCCGCCGAUCCUCUCUCCUCCCCGAGCGGCUCACCGGCUUUACGUCGGUUGGUGGCCGCGUCUGGGACCGAACCGGGCACCGCCUUGUGGAAAAAAAAGAAUAGAAUAUACCCUGUUAAAUCAGACAUGAUACUUGCUUUUGUGGAGCUUAUGCUUUAGUGCAGAAACAGAAAGUCAAGCAAAAACUCAAACUAUGUAACUUUAAAUUGGAUAUGUGCUAAUGAAGGAAAAUGUGGCACUGUAAGAAAAAAUAAUAGGGAGUUAAAGGAUAAAUAGGAGUUUGCUGGAUGAAAUUUAUGAAGAGCUGAAGAUUUCAAACAAAAGAAACUGAUGCAGGAGGGUGCAGCUUUGGAGUCAAGAAUGAAGUUCUAGGAGAUAGAGAGCAAAGAAAUGGUGGGAGAGGAGGUCAAAACGGAAUGAAGUUGAUAAUAGUGAGACCUUGUUGGUACAAGACUAUGUAACAUAACCUGCGCUUCUCAACAAAGAAUUGCUUUUCUGACUUCUGCACUCACAAGACAAAUCUCUCCUCUGCCUUCUCCUUAUCAGACUACUCAACAUGAAGGCAAUAAGAAUGAAGACCUCUAUGUAUAAUAAUUGACUUCCACUUAAUAAAUAAGGUUACUUGGUACACUGGUCGACAAAACCUUGAAAUGUUGAUGUUUAAGGGCUGUUGAUUGCUGGCAGCAAAGAAGUCCAACUGUGCUGGUACCCGAGAUAGCGUCUCCACAUUUUCUUCCAGGAUCAUCACCUUUGUUCUAAAUAGCUCCCACAUAGUGUGAACAGAAGUCAUAUGUUUUAGAUUUUCUGCCUUGGCACCCAGG
rnacentral:lncRNA from 1 species